rnacentral:rRNA from 1 species
AUACGGGGGGUGCAAGCGUUACUCGGAAUCACUGGGCGUAAAGCGCGCGCAGGCGGCUAUUUAAGUUGGAUGUGAAAGCCUACGGCUCAACCGUAGAACUGCAUCCAAAACUAUUUAGCUAGAGUGUGGGAGAGGAAGAUGGAAUUAGUUGUGUAGGGGUAAAAUCCGUAGAGAUAACUAGGAAUACCAAAAGCGAAGGCAAUCUUCUGGAACACUACUGACGCUGAGGCGCGAAAGCGUGGGGAGCAAACAGGAUUAGAUACCCUAGUAGUCC